UACUGAGGUGGCUAAAGAUCCUCCUGCUUCAGGGGUUACUCAAACUGUGGCAGCAGAGGAGGGUCAGAUAGCUCCCUCAUUUCCUCCUGAGCUUGCUGGGUAGUGAUGAGUCUCUCCAGCAUUUCAAAUAGUCGGUCAACAUCCUCUUGAAGCGAAUACUCCCGGGUUGCUCAGUUUAUGGGGGUUCUUCUUCUUGUCAUCUAUUUAUACUUACAUUUCAUAAGGAAUGGUUGAACGAUAAUUCCUUUUUUUUACUAUUUCCUUAUAUCUU
rnacentral:lncRNA from 1 species